rnacentral:lncRNA from 1 species
AGAAUGUCUUGGGACCGGACAGCCAGGCGGCUGGCACCACCAUCACCGCUAUCGCUGCUCCUGGUGCUGGUGCUGCUGUCACGAGCCAGGGCUCUGCAUCCUGAAGAGCUCUUUCCUUACGGAGAGUCGUGGGGAGACCGGCUGCUGCGGGAGGGCGAGGUUGAAAGCUCCGCGGCUGUGAAGCUAGCAGUAUUCUACGGUGUCCAGUUCAGCAACCUCUACCCAUCGCCCCAUUCCUGGCUGACAUCCACUCAGUGGCCUGAUCCUGUAUGGAGGACACCUCCUGGGCUGUGCUGAGUCUGGCUGCUUGCUACCUGUGCACAGGCUUCCCCCCUACCCACUUCUUCCUGGCCACCUGGGAGCAAGUGGGCGCCUAGGAGGAGGACAGGCUUGGGACUGCGUGGUCUGGAGAGGAUAUGGAGACUUCAAUGAUUUUAAUCUAGAGGAUGCGCUGAAAGAAACUUCCUGAGUAAAGCGUGACUCAAACAAACAAGUCCACCAAGCAAACACAAGUGGUCGGCCGUGCACCACACUCACAAUCUUGCCUUCAGAAAAGUACAUGCAUAUGAGACUAGCUGCACCUCCAUCUACCUGUUAGUUCUGUUGUGCAAGGCUUGUGUCGUCUCGUCAUACGUGUGUCAUCUUCCUUUUUCAUUUAGUCUAUGUCGAAACCACAAGAGAACGUGCAUCUGCCUUCACCUUUUUUCUGCUGUACAAAAAGAGAACUCCUACCCGUUUCAUUCCUCUCACUGUUUUGUUUUGAGACAGGGUCUCUUGAUUUAGCCCGAGUUGUCCUGAAAUUCUCUGUGCCGACAAGGCCGGCUUUGACUUGGAUCCAGUGCUAGAACAACAGUGACUCUUGUCCACUGAUGCAUUUCUAGCUUCAGAACCCAUGACUUUUUAUGAUUCUUCAGUGUGAUCCCCACAAUGGCCUCGGGGACCAAUACCGAGACCAUUCUCACGAUGUGACUUCUGUAAACCAUAAAGCAGCCAAUGUGUUUUACAAUCUGCUUCCUUUCAUCCUCCCAUCUCCCUUCAGAGCCACUUUAGCACCACGACUAGGAGGACAGGAACUACCAGAGCCCCAUCAAAUCCAGCAGGUAACGAGGUGUGGGAAGUGAGGAAGGCCAGACUCACCUGAGAAGGGACACAAGGAGGGACUCGUUGGGACUCCAUCUGGGACAGGGUCAAAAGGAGCCAUGUAGAAUUUUUAGCUGCACAUAUGAAAAGUCAGCAAAGGCACCCAUGUGAAUGUUAGAUUUAAUUCAACAGAAUCCCAUCUAGUUGGUCACUGUGCCUUAUGGGAAAACCAUGCAUUUCCACUUCCUAUUUCUUUGGGUGACGAUGGCUGCCAGAAUCCAGGUAUAGGAGGCAGAAGGGGUGAGCUGGGCUUGACUGAAGACCCAGCCUAUCCCCAUAGCUCCCAGGUUAAACAUGAGCCAUUCAUAGUCGAGCACAGUAGGGCAACCUGAGGCCAAAGGAGAAGUCUUCAACGAAGAUAUUCAGAUGUUUUCUUGAAAUUCUCUUAAGUUUUUGAAGAUCUCAGGAGAGUUUGUGUAUGUGGGUCACAUCUAUAAAUACUUCUCAUCUGAGAACUUAGAACUAAAAACUGAUAUUAAUCUGAGGAAAAUAAAAAGCCAUAUGCAUUGA